rnacentral:snRNA from 1 species
GUGCUCAUGUCAGCAGCACGUAUCCUAAAACUGGAAUGAUACAGAGAAGACCAGGAUGGCCCCUGUGCAA